AGACAUUCUCUUGAAGUCAUUCUUACUACAAUAUGUACAGAGAAAUGGAAGAAACUGUUCCUUAGGAUUCACUAUGUGAAAGACGUUUAAUAAAUGUAAAGUGGGGGGAAAAAAAAGAAAUAAAAUGCAUAAAGAGUGAAAGGAAAGCAUUGAGGUGUAACAUUUGAGGUACAUUUUUCUGGAUAUUUUGGUUCAUAAUUUGACCAUUAAAAAUAUAUUUUUAAAGAAAUGUAAAUAUUAUAAAUUAUAUUAUAAUAAUAUUUUAAGAAACAGUAAAACCAUCAGAAAUGUCUCUUCCUACCCACUGUCAUGUUACAAAAAACUAAAAGAAUGAAGUGCAAAGUAGCCAGAAGGUUAAUGAUACCUGAUUUAAAGUAUAAAAUAAAUAUUUUGUGAAUGUGUAUACAAUGUAGGUAAUUCAAACAAUGGAUUGAUUUCAAUUUAUUUAUUGACUUAUGUUUUUAACUCGCAGAUAAGCCCGGCAUUGUCUAAGUAAAUCUAGGUUAGCUUAGCAGCAGAUUUGCUUCUGGGAGAGUUGGACAUGGAAAGAUUGAGGACAGGGGGGGGGGGGGGUGGAUUCACAGCAUGGCAGCAGAGGGGAGGGACCUCAGCAUCCUUUUGUAUUUUGUUUUAUUUUUUUUUCACUGUUUUGUGAUUCCAUUGUCCUUAUAUGG